rnacentral:tRNA from 1 species
GGGGUUGUGGCUCAGUGGUAGAGCGCUUGCCUAGCAUGUAUGAGGCACUAGGUUCAAUUCUCAGCACCG